UUGUCUCGGCCGAAAGCAGAGACAAGUCUCUCCCAACACCUGCGCCAACAGAUGUGCUACCGCCAGAACAAAGGCUACGCCUUAAUAUGCAUGUCAGCGAACGGUUGAACACUGAUUGCGCUUACUUAAAUUCUAAUGAUGUUCAUUUUGUCGCACAGCGCCGGGCUAAUGAUUUACUUCAUUCCUAUGACGAACGAAGCCACAUUGCUGAACCAGCCACAAGUACAACAAAAGGAUGGCUGAGGAGAACACAGUCAAUAUGAAUAUCAGAUUGCACCCCUUGAUUGUUUAGUGUGUUUGAUACGAGGCAUAAUAAAGUGUCAAGGGGUUGGCUUCAACCUAGAGAGAUAGCCACACAGCACCUGGAGAACUACUGGAGUCAGCACUGAAACUGUACAAAUCGAGAACUGCCAGUGAGGAUCAAGACCAUUCCAUGAAGGACGGUACCCUAAGUUCUUCACACACACUUCACACAAAGAUGGUGUGAGAAAGUGGUUCCAAAGAUGGCACCCAACACAGCGCAUGUUCCCGCGCCAAUGAAAGUUGCCAUCCCAAAAUUCACAUAAGCACAUAACAUCUCGCACCAACCUUGCAUGAAGAUUGAAAUCGCAUGUGCUUCUCAUCCCAUAUCAUGCCUUGGGAUCCGAGCAAGUGAGAAUCAUUCAGCAAAGGGAAAGUUGAUCCAAAAUGAUCAAUGAAAAAAAAACAGAGGGCAAUCACGCACUAGUGGUGCAUAGACUGGGGAAACAAUGGAGCUGGUGGCCUUCCCGUCCUCCUUGCCCUUUUUGCUAGCUCAUUGGAAGUAACUAAUAAAGCGCUGCUUCUUGACACGACCUCCGA